AAACCAACCGGGAUUGCCUUAGUAACGGCGAGUGAAGCGGCAAGAGCUCAAAUUUGAAAUCUGGUACCUUUGGUGCCCGAGUUGUAAUUUGUAGAGCAGUACUUUUGUUAUGGGCUUUGCCUAUGUUCCUUGGAACAGGACGUCAUGGAGGGUGAUAAUCCCGUAUGGCGAGGUGACCGUAGCUAUGUGAGUAUUGUUCGACGAGUCGAGUUGUUUGGGAAUGCAGCUCUAAGUGGGUGGUAUACUCCAUCUAAAGCUAAAUAUCAGCGAGAGACCGAUAGCGAACAAGUACAGUGAUGGAAAGAUGAAAAGAACUUUGAAAAGAGAGUGAAAAAGUACGUGAAAUUGUUGAAAGGGAAGGGCAUUUGAUCAGACAUGGUAGGUAGUGCCCUGUGCUCCUUGUGGGUGCGGGAAUUUCGCUGCUUACUGGGCCAGCAUGAGUUUUGGGGCCUCGACAAAGACGCUGUAAUGUAGCUUUGCACAUUGUGUUUAGUGUUAUAGACAGUGUUAAUGGGGGCACCUGGGACUGAGGUCUGCGACUUUUGUCAAGGAUGCUGGCAUAAUGGUUAAAUGCCGC
rnacentral:rRNA from 1 species